rnacentral:lncRNA from 1 species
GAUGCAAGAUAAAGAGGCCUCCAAGUGAGACUGAGGCUGCUUGGGACAGGUCUUCUCAACUCUGACGGCAACAGUGCAGAGCAAAAACACAAUCAACACUUUUGGGUAUCCUGGAGGGGCGUCUGUCUGACAGAUGUGCCAGAGUGUGAUCACUUUUCAAAAGGCCCUGACAUUUCACCACCCAGUAUCUGCAUCACUAAAGACAGGCCCUGGAGCCUUUGGGGCGGUGGCCCUCAGUGCAGGCCGACAGCUUGGUGUGUCCUGCAGGAGUUUGUGACGCCUGGUCUACCACCCCUCUCUGACUCUCUCUGCAUCCUGAGGGCUGUGUUUCAAGAGAAAUUCAAGGCACCCGCCCAUGACUUCACAGCGCUCUUUCCUGGCUCUGCCCUAUCGGUCCUCUCCUGAUGGACCCUCCAGGCUCUGCUCCUGGUCCCUGCAGGGGGUCCCCGCCUCUCAUCUCUGAACUUCCAGAGAUUCCGACUUAGAAGGAUCUCUGGGGGAGUCUCAAGGGAGGACAAGAGAAUCACCCAGUCCAGACCCCUCCACGUUGGAGAAAACCCUCCAAGGCAAGUGAUGAAUUGAAGGUUUGGACAGGCCCAUUGGGACGCUCACCAAUUUCUGCAGGAAUUGAGGCCCUGCUGG